CAGCAGCCGCGGUAAUACGGAGGGUGCAAGCGUUGUUCGGAAUUAUUGGGCGUAAAGCGCGUGUAGGUGGUUAGGUAAGUCAGAUGUGAAAGCCUUCUGCUUAACAGAAGAAGUGCAUUUGAAACUGCUUAGCUAGAGUACGGGAAAGGAGAGUGGAAUUCCCGGUGUAGAGGUGAAAUUCGUAGAUAUCGGGAGGAACACCAGUGGCGAAGGCGGCUCUCUGGUCCGAUACUGACGCUGAGACGCGAAAGCGUGGGGAGCAAACAGGAUUAGAUACCCUGGUAGUCCACGCCGUAAACUUUGGGCACUUGGUGUUGCGGGUAUUGACCCCUGCAGUGCCGAAGCUAGCGCAUUAAGUGCCCCGCCUGGGGAGUACGGCCGCAAGGCUAAAACUCAAAGGAAUUGACGG
rnacentral:rRNA from 1 species